rnacentral:rRNA from 1 species
GAUGAACGCUGGCGGCGUGCCUAAUACAUGCAAGUCGAGCGAACAGACGAGGAGCUUGCUCCUCUGACGUUAGCGGCGGACGGGUGAGUAACACGUGGAUAACCUACCUAUAAGACUGGGAUAACUUCGGGAAACCGGAGCUAAUACCGGAUAAUAUCUUGAACCGCAUGGUUCAAUAGUGAAAGACGGUUUUGCUGUCACUUAUAGAUGGAUCCGCGCCGCAUUAGCUAGUUGGUAAGGUAACGGCUUACCAAGGCAACGAUGCGUAGACGACCUGAGAGGGGGGUCGGCCACACUGGAGCUGGGACACGGUCCAGACUACUACGGGAGGGAGCAGUAGGGAAUCUGCCGCAAUGGGCGGAAGCCUGACGGAGCGACCGCGCGUGAGUGAUGAAGGUCUUCGGAUCGUAAAACUCUGUUAUUAGGGGAGAACAAAUGUGGAAGGAACUAAGCACGUCUUGACGGUAACUAAUCAAGAAGCCACGGCUAACUACGUG